UGGGGAAUAUUGCACAAUGGGCGAAAGCCUGAUGCAGCAACGCCGCGUGAGUGAUGAAGGCCUUCGGGUUGUAAAGCUCUGUCUUUUGGGACGAUAAUGACGGUACCAAAGGAGGAAGCCACGGCUAACUACGUGCCAGCAGCCGCGGUAAUACGUAGGUGGCAAGCGUUGUCCGGAUUUACUGGGCGUAAAGGAUGCGUAGGCGGAUUUUUAAGUGAGAUGUGAAAACCCUAAGCUUAACUUGGGGACUGCAUUUCAUACUGGAAAUCUAGAGUGCGGGAGAGGAGAAUGGAAUUCCUAGUGUAGCGGUGAAAUGCGUAGAGAUUAGGAAGAACACCAGUGGCGAAGGCGAUUCUCUGGACCGUAACUGACGCUGAGGCAUGAAAGCGUGGGUAGCAAACAGGAUUAGAUACCCUGGUAGUCCACGCCGUAAACGAUGAGUACUAGGUGUAGGAGGUAUCGACCCCUUCUGUGCCGCAGUUAACACAAUAAGUACUCCGCCUGGGAAGUACGAUCGCAAGAUUAAAAACUCAAAUGAAUUGACGGGGUCAUAGCUGUUUCCU
rnacentral:rRNA from 1 species